CCUACGGGAGGCAGCAGUGAGGAAUAUUGGUCAAUGGUCGGGAGACUGAACCAGCCAAGCCGCGUGAGGGAGGAAGGUACAGAGUAUUGUAAACCUCUUUUGUCAGGGAACAAAGGCGGGGACGUGUCCCCGGAUGAGUGUACCUGAAGAAAAAGCAUCGGCUAACUCCGUGCCAGCAGCCGCGGUAAUACGGAGGAUGCGAGCGUUAUCCGGAUUUAUUGGGGUUAAAGGGUUCGCAGGCGGACUGUUAAGUCAGCGGUCAAAGCUCGGGGCUCAACCCCGGCCCGCCGUUGAAACUGGCAGUCUCGAGUUGGAGAGAAGUAUGCGGAAUGCGCGGUGUAGCGGUGAAAUGCAUAGAUAUCGCGCAGAACUCCGAUUGCGAAGGCAGCAUGCCGGCUCCACACUGACGCUGAGGCACGAAAGCGUGGGUAUCGAACAGGAUUAGAUACCCUGGUAGUC
rnacentral:rRNA from 1 species